AUUACGGCAAGAUCAGCAUCAGACUAGCGUGUUCGCUUUUGCGAACGCGCUAACCUAUAUCGAACAUGGUUCUUGCCUUUUACCAGAACCAUCCGGGUGCUGUCUUCGCCGGGACCGAUCUAGCAGUGCUCCAUAUUUUUUGGAACCUUCCCUUUUUCGUUGGC
rnacentral:snRNA from 1 species